rnacentral:lncRNA from 1 species
CCGUCAUAAAUAUUUUUCCAUAUCGUAUUAAUUGAUAUUGUGCAUGUUGCAAUAUUUACAUUAUAGAAAAAGCAUAAUAUUCACUUGUCAUUGUAAAAUUAAUCCCAGGGGAAUAUGCUGUAGUAGCCUCUUCAUGAACAUAGAAAUGGAAAACCUGGAGUUCAAAAUAUGAUGGAAUAUUGAGUCCUAAUGUAUAUGUAACGAGAGUUUUUUCUUAACUUAUAUGUGAUGGAGUUGUUUGGUUGUAGUACGCGAAAAAAUGGAGUUUUCUGGAAGAUAGGUAUGGCAUAAUUAUCACAGGAACGAUCCAUUGUAUCCAAGCAAAGUACAUCAUAUGAUGUGUCUUAAACCCUUCUCAUAUACGUAUUAAUUAAUAAAAAAUCUUAUUACUAUCAUUUGUUACUUGCAGGGCGGAAUACUAGUACAAAGCAUACUGUCUGACCUAUUAUCAAAACUAAACUUAGCAAUUUCAUACGUCUUCACAUUAACAUGUCGACU